GAACGAACGCUUGUGUGGUAUGCUUAACACAUGCAAGUCGAACGCGUUUUUGGGGGCAACUCCAAAAAUGAGUGGCAAACGGGUGAGUAAUACAUAGGAAUCUACCUAGCAGUAAGGAAUAACAUUGGGAAACCAAUGCUAAUGCCAUAUAUUACCAAUUUAUUGGGAAAGAUUUAUCGCUGUUAGAUGAGCCUUUGUCGGAUUAGCUAGUUGGUAGGGUAAUGGCCUACCAAGGCGAUGAUCCGUAGCUGGUCUGAGAGGAUGAUCAGCCACAUUGGGACUGCGACACGGCCCAAACUCCUACGGGAGGCAGCAGUGGGGAAUAUUGGACAGUGGACGCAAGUCUGAUCCAGCAAUACCACGUGAGUGAUGAAGGCCUUCGGGUUGUAAAACUCUUUUAGUAGGGAAGAUAAUGACGGUACCUACAGAAAAAGCACCGGCUAACUUCGUGCCAGCAGCCGCGGUAUACGAAGAGUGCUAGCGUUGUUCGGAAUCAUUGGGCGUAAAGCGUGCGUAGGCGGUUUAGUAAGUCGAAUGUGAAAGCCCAGAGCUUAACUUUGGAAUUGCAUUCGAAACUACUAGACUAGAGUAUGGCGGGGGAUAGUGGAAUUCUUAGUGUAGGGGUGAAAUCCGUAGAUAUUAAGAGGAACACCGGUGGCGAAGGCGACUAUCUACACCAUCACUGACGCUGAGGCACGAAAGCGUGGGGAGCAAACAGGAUUAGAUACCCUGGUAGUCCACGCAGUAAACGAUGAGUGCUAGUCAUUGGGAUCUUAGAUUUCGGUGGCGAAGCUAACGCGUUAAGCACUCCGCCUGGGGAGUACGGCCGCAAGGCUAAAACUCAAAGGAAUUGACGGGGACCCGCACAAGCAGUGGAGCAUGUGGUUUAAUUCGAUGCUACGCGAAAAACCUUACCAGCUCUUGUAUCCUCACUAUGAUUUUCAGAAAUGAAUUUCUUCACUUCGGGUGGGUGAGAGACAGGUGUUGCAUGGCUGUCGUCAGCUCGUGUCGUGAGAUGUUAGGUUAAGUCCUUCAACGAGCGCAACCCUCAUCCUUAUUUGCCAUCGGGUUAUGCCGGGAACUAUAAGGAAACUGCCAACGACAAGUUGGAGGAAGGUGGGGAUGAUGUCAAGUCAUCAUGGCCCUUAUGGGCUGGGCUACACACAUGCUACAAUGGUGGUUACAACGGGAUGCGAAAGAGCGAUCUGGAGCCAAUCCUUUAAAAGCCAUCUCAGUUCAGAUUGGGGGCUGCAACUCGCCC
rnacentral:rRNA from 1 species